rnacentral:rRNA from 1 species
AUGUUCGGCAUGGUGCUACUUUUCCUUCUGCUGUCGUGCAGCGUUUCCGGGCGCCACGCCGCAGGGACGACCAAGUUCGAGCUUCGACUGAACGUCCCGGCGGUGAUGAUGGUGAACGGGAUAAAGUGUGCACUCCUAGAGAUGCAGGAUUGUGCUCUCUCGCAGGUUCCGGACACUCGUCGCUUGCUCAACGGGUCCGCCUUCUCGACCCGGGGUGCGUAUGCGGCUCUCUCGGAUCAUCUCUCUGAUCCCAUGCUCACCGCCAUCUGGGACUCAAAAGUGCCCAAUAAGGUUAUGAUCUUCGGAUGGCUCUUCUACCUCGACCGCCUCAACACACGGAAGAACUUGCAUAAAAAAAGCAUCCUGGAUACAGAAACUUGUCCAAGAUGUUCUCACCAGGUUGAAUAUCAUGAGCACCUGUUCUUUUCAUGCCCGGCUGCUCGGGGCAUUUGGCAGGCUACCUCCAUUCGCCCGUGCUUUACGCCUAUUAGUGACCUCUUCUCUACGAGGUGGGGAAAUAUGAUGGUGAACGGCUUCCAGCAAGACCAUCCGCAUCUUCAACACCACAGCGACGAGGAGUACGUGGUGUCGCUCUCUUCGGAGUGGUACGCCGGCGGGGCCCGGUGCGGCAAGACCAUCCGCAUCGCCAACUCUGGCAAUCUUUACAUAAACGCCAUGGUCGUCGACGAGUGCGCCGGCUGUGACAACGAGGUGGGCGCGUCCAUCCAUAUCUGGCGUAACUUCCGUCUUGACCCCAGCCUCGGCCAGGCCGACAUCAAGUGGUCCGACCUUGACACGUCUACCUGA